rnacentral:piRNA from 1 species
UCAGACCUUAGCUCUGCCCAUAACUGCUGC